rnacentral:rRNA from 1 species
UUGAACGCUGGCGGCAGGCCUAACACAUGCAAGUCGAGCGGUAACACAGAGAGCUUGCUCUCGGGUGACGAGCGGCGGACGGGUGAGUAAUGUCUGGGAAACUGCCUGAUGGAGGGGGAUAACUACUGGAAACGGUAGCUAAUACCGCAUAACGUCGCAAGACCAAAGUGGGGGACCUUCGGGCCUCAUGCCAUCAGAUGUGCCCAGAUGGGAUUAGCUAGUAGGUGGGGUAACGGCUCACCUAGGCGACGAUCCCUAGCUGGUCUGAGAGGAUGACCAGCCACACUGGAACUGAGACACGGUCCAGACUCCUACGGGAGGCAGCAGUGGGGAAUAUUGCACAAUGGGCGCAAGCCUGAUGCAGCCAUGCCGCGUGUGUGAAGAAGGCCUUCGGGUUGUAAAGCACUUUCAGCGGGGAGGAAGGCGGUGAGGUUAAUAACCUCAUCGAUUGACGUUACCCGCAGAAGAAGCACCGGCUAACUCCGUGCCAGCAGCCGCGGUAAUACGGAGGGUGCAAGCGUUAAUCGGAAUUACUGGGCGUAAAGCGCACGCAGGCGGUCUGUCAAGUCGGAUGUGAAAUCCCCGGGCUCAACCUGGGAACUGCAUUCGAAACUGGCAGGCUAGAGUCUUGUAGAGGGGGGUAGAAUUCCAGGUGUAGCGGUGAAAUGCGUAGAGAUCUGGAGGAAUACCGGUGGCGAAGGCGGCCCCCUGGACAAAGACUGACGCUCAGGUGCGAAAGCGUGGGGAGCAAACAGGAUUAGAUACCCUGGUAGUCCACGCCGUAAACGAUGUCGAUUUGGAGGUUGUGCCCUUGAGGCGUGGCUUCCGGAGCUAACGCGUUAAAUCGACCGCCUGGGGAGUACGGCCGCAAGGUUAAAACUCAAAUGAAUUGACGGGGGCCCGCACAAGCGGUGGAGCAUGUGGUUUAAUUUGAUGCAACGCGAAGAACCUUACCUGGUCUUGACAUCCACAGAACUUUCCAGAGAUGGAUUGGUGCCUUCGGGAACUGUGAGACAGGUGCUGCAUGGCUGUCGUCAGCUCGUGUUGUGAAAUGUUGGGUUAAGUCCCGCAACGAGCGCAACCCUUAUCCUUUGUUGCCAGCGGUUAGGCCGGGAACUCAAAGGAGACUGCCAGUGAUAAACUGGAGGAAGGUGGGGAUGACGUCAAGUCAUCAUGGCCCUUACGACCAGGGCUACACACGUGCUACAAUGGCAUAUACAAAGAGAAGCGACCUCGCGAGAGCAAGCGGACCUCAUAAAGUAUGUCGUAGUCCGGAUUGGAGUCUGCAACUCGACUCCAUGAAGUCGGAAUCGCUAGUAAUCGUAGAUCAGAAUGCUACGGUGAAUACGUUCCCGGGCCUUGUACACACCGCCCGUCACACCAUGGGAGUGGGUUGCAAAAGAAGUAGGUAGCUUAACCUUCGGGAGGGCGCUUACCACUUUGUGAUUCAUGACUGGGGUG